rnacentral:rRNA from 1 species
UACGAAGGGGGCUAGCGUUGCUCGGAAUGACUGGGCGUAAAGGGCGCGUAGGCGGAUGGCACAGUCAGAUGUGAAAUUCCCGGGCUUAACCUGGGGGGCUGCAUUUGAUACGUGUUGUCUAGAGUGAGGAAGAGGGUUGUGGAAUUCCCAGUUGUAGAAGUGAAAUUCGUAGAUAUUGGGAAGAACACCGGUGGCGAAGGCGGCAACCUGGUCCUUGACUGACGCUGAGGCGCGAAAGCGUGGGGAGCAAACAGG